UACCGAAUAACAAUGCAAACAUAAACACACACACAACACAAUGGAAAAACAACUUUCACUCCGAUUAUCUCUGUUAUCGUAUUUUUUAUGCGAGGACUAAGGUUAUCUGAAGAAAGUCUGUUCACUAUCCAAACUUUAGCCCGCAUAUUUCUUGCGGGUUUUUUUAUCCGUU
rnacentral:ncRNA from 1 species